rnacentral:snoRNA from 2 species
AAGACUGUGCUUCAUAGGAUCAUUUCUAUAGGCCAGUGUUCAACUCUUGUUGAUCGAACCUUGAGUUCGUUCUACCCACGAUGAUGAGGUCAAGUGUUUACCCCGGAGCGUGAAACUGUCGGAUCUCGGCUGCGUCUCUGACGUGUCGAUCUGUACUUGAUGAUCGUAUCCAAAAACGGGGGGUCAAACACAGUCUGAGUGGA